UGUGGUGUAGCUCAACUGGAUAGAGCGCAUCCGGACGGUGAGGUUAUCGGUUCGAACCCGGUCACCGCGA
rnacentral:tRNA from 1 species